rnacentral:tRNA from 1 species
AACAGUGUGGCCCAGUGGGUGGAGGGCACUGGACUGGGAGUCCGGACACCUGGGUUCUAUUCUCAGCUAUGUCA